rnacentral:rRNA from 1 species
AGUGAACGCUGGCGGUAGGCCUAACACAUGCAAGUCGAACGGCAGCACAGUAAGAGCUUGCUCUUACGGGUGGCGAGUGGCGGACGAGUGAGGAAUACAUCGGAAUCUACUUUUUCGUGGGGGAUAACGUAGGGAAACUUACGCUAAUACCGCAUACGACCUACGGGUGAAAGCAGGGGAUCUUCGGACCUUGCGCGGUUGAAUGAGCCGAUGUCGGAUUAGCUAGUUGGCGGGGUAAAGGCCCACCAAGGCGACGAUCCGUAGCUGGUCUGAGAGGAUGAUCAGCCACACUGGAACUGAGACACGGUCCAGACUCCUACGGGAGGCAGCAGUGGGGAAUAUUGGACAAUGGGCGAAAGCCUGAUCCAGCCAUACCGCGUGGGUGAAGAAGGCCUUCGGGUUGUAAAGCCCUUUUGUUGGGAAAGAAAAGCAGCAGGUUAAUACCCCGCUGUUCUGACGGUACCCAAAGAAUAAGCACCGGCUAACUUCGUG